GAUGACGAACGUAGCGAAAUGCGAUAAGUAAUGUGAAUUGCAGAAUUCAGUGAAUCAUCGAAUCUUUGAACGCACAUUGCGCCCGCCAGUAUUCUGGCGGGCAUGCCUGUCCGAGCGUCAUUUCAACCCUCGAACCCCUCCGGGGGGUCGGCGUUGGGGAUCGGCCCUCCCUUAGCGGGUGGCCGUCUCCGAAAUACAGUGGCGGUCUCGCCGCAGCCUCUCCUGCGCAGUAGUUUGCACACUCGCAUCGGGAGCGCGGCGCGUCCACAGCCGUUAAACACCCAACUUCUGAAAUGUUGACCUCGGAUCAGGUAGGAAUACCCGCUGAACUUAAGCAUAUCAAUAAGCGGAGGA
rnacentral:misc_RNA from 1 species